rnacentral:misc_RNA from 1 species
AGAACUAACCAAAACAGUUGCUGAUGGGUCUGUGGGUAGUGAUCAACUGCCCCGCAGGCCUGGUAGGCCUCCUAAGAAGAGAAAAAUUGAUUUGGAGAGUACAAAUGGUUAUGGUAAUGGUGAUGUGGCUUCAAACGCUGCUGCAGAAGUCAUAAUGGCAGAUGGAAACGGGAGUGAGAGUUUGAAAAGAAAUGCUAAGCUUCCUACUCCGGAAGUUCCAAUCCGAAGAUGGCCUACGGCUCCUGCAUUUGAUCCAAGACCGUUGUUAAUUGACAAGGCAAGAACAGAUAUCCGCAAGAAACUGGAAGAGAUCAGGUUGGCUGCUGUAGAGUCCGAGAAAAAGAGAAAGGCACAUGCUCAAUUUGGUGAAUCGAGUGAAAGACCUAAAAGAGAAGGUCUUGGUCUUACUGCUCAUCAAUCGGAUAUGAGGAAAACUGGGUCCAUGAGUUUGACUGUCCCAGACUCUGACUUCCAUGAUUUUGACAAGGAUAGAUCAGAGGAUUGCUUCAUGCCAAAGCAGAUAUGGGCUUUAUAUGAUGAGGAAGAUGGUAUGCCUCGCUUGUAUUGUUUGAUUCGUGAAAUCAUAUCUGUGAAACCAUUCAAAGUUCAUAUCAGUUACAUAAGCUCAAAGACAGAUAGCGAAUUUGGGCUGGUCAAUUGGUUGGAUUCUGGUUUUACAAAGUCAUGUGGAAAUUUUAGGGCCUUCAACUCUGAAAUUGUUGAGCAUGUAAACAUAUUCUCUCACCUGCUAAGUAAGGAGAAAGUUGGAAGGGGAGGUAGUAUUAGAAUCUACCCAAAAAGUGGAGACAUUUGGGCUGUAUAUCGAAA